UCCAGGGUAGCCUAGUGGACAAUGGCAUCUGCCCAGUAAGCGGGAAACUGUGGGUUCGUUUCCCAUCCUUGGAC
rnacentral:tRNA from 1 species